rnacentral:rRNA from 1 species
AUACGGAGGAUCCGAGCGUUAUCCGGAUUUAUUGGGUUUAAAGGGUGCGCAGGCGGGAGAUUAAGUCGGCGGGGAAAUUUUGCAGCUCAACUGGAAAAGUGCCUUCGAAACUGGUUUUCUUGAGUGUAGAUGAAGGAGGCGGAAUUUGUGGUGUAGCGGUGAAAUGCAUGGCUAUCACGAGGAACUCCGAUUGCGCAGGCAGCUUACUAAACUAAGACUUACGCUCAGGCACGAAGGCUUUAAAGGCAAACAGGAUUAGAUGCCCUUGUAGUCCACGCAGUAAGCGAUGAAUACUAGCUUUAUGCAACACAAUGUAAUCGGCUGAGGCAAAACAAUUAGGAAUCACCCUUGGGAGCUCGGUCUUACGAAGGAAGCUCAAAUUAAUUACUGGGG